GAUGAACGCUGGCGGCGUGCCUAAUACACGCAAGUCGAGCGAACGGACGAGAAGCUUGCUUCUCUGAUGUUAGCGGCGGACGGGUGAGUAACACGUGGAUAACCUACCUAUAAGACUGGGAUAACUUCGGGAAACCGGAGCUAAUACCGGAUGAUAUUUUGAACCGCAUGGUUCAAAAGUGAAAGACGGUCUUGCUGUCACUUAUAGGUGGAUCCGCGCUGCAUUAGCUAGUUGGUAAGGUAACGGCUUACCAAGGCAACGAUGCAUAGCCGACCUGAGAGGGUGAUCGGCCACACUGGAACUGAGACACGGUCCAGACUCCUACGGGAGGCAGCAGUAGGGAAUCUUCCGCAAUGGGCGAAAGCCUGACGGAGCAACGCCGCGUGAGUGAUGAAGGUCUUCGGAUCGUAAAACUCUGUUAUUAGGGAAGAACAUAUGUGUAAGUAACUGUGCACAUCUUGACGGUACCUAAUCAGAAAGCCACGGCUAACUACGUG
rnacentral:rRNA from 1 species